rnacentral:rRNA from 1 species
AUUGAACGCUGGCGGCAGGCCUAACACAUGCAAGUCGAACGAGUGGCGGAAGGGUGAGUAAUGUCUGGGAAAAUGACUGAGGGAGGGGGAUAACUACGGGAAACGGUAGCUAAUACCGCAUACCAUCAGAUGUGCCCAGAUGGGAUUCGCUUGUUGGUGGGGGAAAGGAUCACCAAGGCGACGAUCCCUAGCUAGUCUGAGAGGAUGACCCGCCACACUGGAACUGAGACACGGUCCAGACUCCUACGGGAGGCAGCAGUGGGGAAUAUUGCACAAUGGGCGCAAGCCUGAUGCAGCCAUGCCGCGUGUAUGAAGAAGGUCUUCGGGUUGUAAAGUACUUUCAGCUGGGAGGCGUUACCCACAGAAGAAGCACCGGCUAACUCCGUGCCAGCAGCCGCGGUAAUAC